rnacentral:rRNA from 1 species
CGAAGAUACCAGCUGGCUGCAACUGUUUAAUAAAAACACAGCACUGUGCAAACACGAAAGUGGACGUAUACGGUGUGACGCCUGCCCGGUGCUGGAAGGUUAAUUGAUGGGGUCAGCCGCAAGGCGAAGCUCUUGAUCGAAGCCCCAGUAAACGGCGGCCGUAACUAUAACGGUCCUAAGGUAGCGAAAUUCCUUGUCGGGUAAGUUCCGACCUGCACGAAUGGCGUAAUGAUGGCCAGGCUGUCUCCACCCGAGACUCAGUGAAAUUGAACUCGCUGUGAAGAUGCAGUGUACCCGCGGCAAGACGGAAAGACCCCGUGAACCUUUACUAUAGCUUGACACUGAACAUUGAGCCUUGAUGUGUAGGAUAGGUGGGAGGCUUUGAAGCGUGGACGCCAGUCUGCGUGGAGCCAUCCUUGAAAUACCACCCUUUAAUGUUUGAUGUUCUAACUCGGCCCCGUGAUCCGGGGUGAGGACAGUGUCUGGUGGGUAGUUUGACUGGGGCGGUCUCCUCCCAAAGAGUAACGGAGGAGCACGAAGGUUAGCUAAUCACGGUCGGACAUCGUGAGGUUAGUGCAAAGGCAUAAGCUAGCUUGACUGCGAGAGUGACGGCUCGAGCAGGUACGAAAGUAGGUCUUAGUGAUCCGGUGGUUCUGAAUGGAAGGGCCAUCGCUCAACGGAUAAAAGGUACUCCGGGGAUAACAGGCUGAUACCGCCCAAGAGUUCAUAUCGACGGCGGUGUUUGGCACCUCGAUGUCGGCUCAUCACAUCCUGGGGCUGAAGUAGGUCCCAAGGGUAUGGCUGUUCGCCAUUUAAAGUGGUACGCGAGCUGGGUUUAGAACGUCGUGAGACAGUUCGGUCCCUAUCUGCCGUGGGCGUUGGAAGAUUGAGAGGGGUUGCUCCUAGUACGAGAGGACCGGAGUGAACGCACCACUGGUGUUCGGGUUGUCAUGCCAAUGGCAUUGCCCGGUAGCUAAGUGCGGAAAAGAUAAGCGCUGAAAGCAUCUAAGCGCGAAACUUGC